rnacentral:rRNA from 1 species
UACGGAGGGUGCAAGCGUUAUCCGGAUUUACUGGGUUUAAAGGGUGCGCAGGCGGAUAUGUAAGUCAGUGGUGAAAUCUCUAGGCUUAACCUGGAAAUUGCCGUUGAUACUAUAUAUCUUGAAUGCUGUGGAGGUAAGCGGAAUAUGUCAUGUAGCGGUGAAAUGCUUAGAGAUGACAUAGAACACCUAUUGCGAAGGCAGCUUACUACGCAGAUAUUGACGCUCAUGCACGAAAAGCGUGGGGAUCAAACAGG